rnacentral:rRNA from 1 species
AUGCCGCCGCCCGGGCCGUGCGUCGCCGAUGCCCCGGACGUGCUGCUCGAGGAAAUCUUCCUCCUCCUCCCGGCCGCCGCCGACCUCGCGCGCGCCUCCGCGGCCUGCCCCUCCUUCCGCCGCGUCAUCGCCGGGCACGCCUUCAUGCGCCGCUACCGCGCCCUCCACCGGCCGCCUCUCAUCGGCAUUCUCCACAACCGCAUACCCUUCGUCCCGGCACAGCCGCCGCACCCCUCCGCCGUCGCUGCCCGCGCCUUCGUCAGCUUCGACUUCUCCUGCUCAUCCUUCAUCCCCUCCACCCCGGAACAUACCUGGAGUCCAAUUGACUUCUUUGACGGACGCGUGCUCCUCGACGGCGCCCAUGCCAAAGAAAGAAUCAGAGGCAUCGCCGUCUCCCCUCACCGUCAAUCCUGUGACAGGGACCUCGCUGUGUGCGACCCCGUGCACCGCCGUUGCAUCGUGCUGCCCGCCGUCCCCGGCGACCUAAAAGCGCUGGUCGCUCAACUGGACUUCCUCAGUCUGCAAACUUUCCUUGCUCCCGGCGAGGAUGAGGAGGACCCUCUAUCAUUCUCAGGGUCAUGUGAUUGGUGGAAUGCACAACCAAACUGUUGCUUCUCGUCUUCUCCAAAUCAUUGGAUGGACAAGGACAGUGGCGUGCUCUUACAUUCGAUCAAUGGAGUGGUGAGGCUACAUUAG